GACGAACGCUGGCGGCGUGCUUAACACAUGCAAGUCGAACGGGUCUGCCCUGUUUUUUGCGGGGUGGGUCAGUGGCGAACGGGUGAGUAACACGUGAGUAACCUGCCCCUCACUUCUGGAUAACCGCUUGAAAGGGUGGCUAAUACGGGGUGUUCUGGCUGUGCCGCAUGGUGUGGCUGGGAAAGAUUCACUUUUGUGGUGUUUUGGUGGGGGAUGGGCUCGCGGCCUAUCAGCUUGUUGGUGGGGUGAUGGCCUGCCAAGGCUUUGACGGGUAGCCGGCAUGAGAGGGUGGGCGGUCACACUGGGACUGAGAUACGGACCAGACUCCUGCGGGAGGCAGCAGUGGGGGGUAUUGCACAAUGGGCGGAAGCAUGAUGCAGCGACGUCGCGUGAGGGAUGGAGGCCUGCGGGUUGUGAACCUCUUUCGCCGGUGAAGAAGGUCCUGCUCUUUGUGGUGGGGUUGACGGUAGCCGGGUUAUGAAGCGCCGGCUAACUACGUG
rnacentral:rRNA from 1 species